AUACGUAGGUGACAAGCGUUAUCCGGAUUUACUGGGCGUAAAGGGCGUGUAGGCGGUCUUGCAAGUCAGAAGUGAAAUUCCUGAGCUCAACUCGGGCGCUGCUUCUGAAACUGCAGGACUUGAGUGCUGGAGGGGAUAGCGGAAUUCCUAGUGGAGCGGUAAAAUGCGCAGAUAUUAGGAAGAACACCGGUGGCGAAGGCGGCUAUCUGGACAGAAACUGACGCUGAGGCGCGAAAGCGUGGGGAGCAAUCAGGAUUAGAUCCCCUGGUAGUCCACGCCGUAAACGAUGAAUACAAGGUGUAGGGGGUAUCGACUCCCUCUGUGCCGCAGUUAACACAAUAAGUAUUCCGCCUGGGGAGUACGGCCGCAAGGUUGAAACUCAAAUGAAUUGACGGGG
rnacentral:rRNA from 1 species